AUGUAUCAUCCUCGACAGGAAAUGACAGCUUUUCAAAAAGAGCUACAUGACCACAAACAUUACUUUAACAUGAAAGUGAAUGAUUUGCAGGCUUUGCUGAGCUCUCAGGAUCUUAAGGCACCACAAGAUCGCAAUAUAUCAAAGCAUUUCUGUGACCACUUACAAACUCAACUGCGACACAAAGAGCAGCACAUGGAGAAUAUCUCUUCUGUCAAGGACUCCAAGUGUGUGUGUGUGUGUGUGUGUGUGUGUGUGUGUGUGUGUGUGUGUGUUUGUUUGUUUUUAUGUUUGUUUUUGUGUUUGUGUUUGUUGGGGGGGGUGCCUGUGAGUGUGUUUGCCUUUGCACUGAUUGUGAAUUUUCUUUCCCAGGAUAAAUGAUCUUGAAGAAAAGCUGACAAUGAUGGAGAUGAAAAUGAAAGUGGAGGAGGAGAAAUAUGUAGAGAAGUGAGUUAUUAGUUAGUUAGUUAGUUAGUUAGUUAGUUAGUUAGUUAGUUAGUUAGUUAGUUAGUUAGUUAGUUAGUUAGUUAGUUAGUUAGUUAGUUAGUUAGUUAGUUAGUUAGUUAUUGUUUUAAAAGAUAGACAGUCAACACAGGUCUCUACAUUCCAUUUAUGCAUAAGCGGUCAAAGUUGCAGAAAAUAAUUAGUGAUUCAAUCCACAUGGUACAAAAAAUGUUAUACUGAUAUACCAUAUAACAGUAUACUGUAAUUUUAAGAGCAGUAAUAUGAGCUUUUGAGCUCCAUUAUGUUUCCUCCUCACUUUCUUUGCGCUGUACAAAAUCAAAG
rnacentral:lncRNA from 1 species